rnacentral:rRNA from 1 species
GUCUAUGAUCAUACCAUUCUGAACGUGUCUAAUCUCUUCUGGUCUUGGAAGCUAAGCAUAUUUGGGCCUGGUUAGUACUUGGAUGGAAGACAUAUUAGGAAUUUCAUUUUUUUGUUUUCU